rnacentral:rRNA from 1 species
GAACGCUGGCGGCGUGCUUAACACAUGCAAGUCGAACGCGAAAGGGACUCGGUCCUGAGUAAAGUGGCGCACGGGUGAGUAACGCGUGGAUAAUCUGCCCUUAUGAUCGGGAUAACAGUUGGAAACGGCUGCUAAUACCGGAUACGCUCAAAAUGAACUUUUUGAGGAAAGAUGGCCUCUGCUUGCAUGCUAUCACGUAAGGAUGAGUCCGCGUCCCAUUAGCUUGUUGGCGGGGUAACGGCCCACCAAGGCAACGAUGGGUAGCCGAUUUGAGAGGAUGAUCGGCCACACUGGAACUGAAACACGGUCCAGACUCCUACGGGAGGCAGCAGUGGGGAAUAUUGCGCAAUGGGCGAAAGCCUGACGCAGCGACGCCGCGUGGGGGAUGAAAGGUUUUCGGAUCGUAAACCUCUGUCAGAAGGGAAGAAACUACGUUGUGCUAAUCAGCAGCGUACUGACGGUACCUUCAAAGGAAGCACCGGCUAACUCCGUGCCAGCAGCAGC